UACAGAGGGGGCAAGCGUUGUUCGGAAUUACUGGGCGUAAAGGGCGCGUAGGCGGCCUUCUAAGUCGAACGUGAAAUCCCCGGGCUCAACCCGGGAACUGCGUCCGAUACUGGAAGGCUUGAAUCCGGGAGAGGGAUGCGGAAUUCCAGGUGUAGCGGUGAAAUGCGUAGAUAUCUGGAGGAACACCGGUGGCGAAGGCGGCAUCCUGGACCGGUAUUGACGCUGAGGCGCGAAAGCUAGGGGAGCAAACGGG
rnacentral:rRNA from 1 species